UCCUCAUUACGUGUCCAGGAAGUGAUCAUAGAUGCAAUUUCCUUCCGUUCCCAUGAUACAUUACAUCCAUGCCUUUCGUGACUGUGCAGGAAAAACACACAAAUUGUCCAUGAAGUGAACAUAUUUGGAUGCCUCUCCCUGCCGUCCCGUGAGAGUUCGAGUCAAUUGCCGCAAUCUCUUGUGUCCGCCGCCGGGAUAUGACACCACGCUGUAUCUUAAUGGCUUUCAGCCCUGUGCAACGCAAAGAGCAUCUGGCUGCAGCCUCCACGUAAUCAAUAGUGAACAAACAGUCCGCCAGAAUGUUUCUACACCAGCCGAGAUACACCCCCUGUAGGGCACCAAUCCAGUGGCAGGGCUAAAAUAUAUAUUUUUUUAAACUUCCUGUUCGGUGACUAGAACUGCCUGUCUCAGGCAUGAGGGGUAUAUAAAUUCCAGAAUCCCAUGGGCACAUAUUACUUGUUAUGAUAAUGGUCUGUGUGUAGACAGUGCUGCCCUGUAGUUUGAAGACAAGCCUUUUAUUUUAGAUUUUAUUUGGAAUCUCUGUGUAUAUGAUCACUCCUGGCAGGACAUUCCAGGUAGAGUCCAACAGCAUCAAGACCUGGCAACCUUGCAACAAAUACUGUUUUAUCAGUCGAAAUCUAAAAGUAAAACACAGGUUGGUUCACACAUGGGUCUGUAUACUAAACUGUCCAAACAUUGUUCAUCUUCUUGAGUACUUGAAAUGAAUGCAUCGUACUGUGACAUCGGGU